rnacentral:lncRNA from 1 species
AGACCUCAGCUCAACUGGAGACCAGCAUGUCUGCGUGUAGCCCAUUGCCCCACACUUCCUGUAAUCCCAGAAAGAGGAACAGAGAAAAUGAGAUCAUUAAAGAGAAUAGAAUGUAGACUGCCACAUCAAAUAAGAAGAAGUGAGAAGCCUGUGUUUUCAUCCCAGUGGACCAAGAGGAAAGGAGGAAAGAAGCAAGGAAGGAAAGCAGUUUUACCUUUUUCACUAAUCCCAUAUUUUUCAGUGAACACCACUCUUUUAACUUCUCUGGUAAAUUCCAAAACCUGCUUUCUGGAUAGUUCCAUGUGAACUUAUCACCACUGCACCAUAUCUAGCAUACUAUGUGCUACAUGCUAAAUUAAGUCUCUCUUAUCCAAGAA